AGAGUUUGAUCCUGGCUCAGGAUGAACGCUAGCUACAGGCUUAACACAUGCAAGUCGAGGGGCAGCAUUUCAGUUUGCUUGCAAACUGGAGAUGGCGACCGGCGCACGGGUGAGUAACACGUAUCCAACCUGCCGAUAACUCGGGGAUAGCCUUUCGAAAGAAAGAUUAAUACCCGAUGGUAUAAUAAAACCGCAUGGUUUUAUUAUUAAAGAAUUUCGGUUAUCGAUGGGGAUGCGUUCCAUUAGGCAGUUGGUGAGGUAACGGCUCACCAAACCUUCGAUGGAUAGGGGUUCUGAGAGGAAGGUCCCCCACAUUGGAACUGAGACACGGUCCAAACUCCUACGGGAGGCAGCAGUGAGGAAUAUUGGUCAAUGGACGAGAGUCUGAACCAGCCAAGUAGCGUGAAGGAUGACUGCCCUAUGGGUUGUAAACUUCUUUUAUAUGGGAAUAAAGUUUUCCACGUGUGGAAUUUUGUAUGUACCAUAUGAAUAAGGAUCGGCUAACUCCGUGCCAGCAGCCGCGGUAAUACGGAGGAUCCGAGCGUUAUCCGGAUUUAUUGGGUUUAAAGGGAGCGUAGGUGGACAGUUAAGUCAGUUGUGAAAGUUUGCGGCUCAACCGUAAAAUUGCAGUUGAUACUGGCUGUCUUGAGUACAGUAGAGGUGGGCGGAAUUCGUGGUGUAGCGGUGAAAUGCUUAGAUAUCACGAAGAACUCCGAUUGCGAAGGCAGCUCACUGGACUGCAACUGACACUGAUGCUCGAAAGUGUGGGUAUCAAACAGGAUUAGAUACCCUGGUAGUCCACACAGUAAACGAUGAAUACUCGCUGUUUGCGAUAUACAGUAAGCGGCCAAGCGAAAGCAUUAAGUAUUCCACCUGGGGAGUACGCCGGCAACGGUGAAACUCAAAGGAAUUGACGGGGGCCC
rnacentral:rRNA from 1 species